AUUGAACGCUGGCGGAAUGCUUUACACAUGCAAGUCGAGCGGCAGCGCGGCCUUCGGGCUGGCGGCGAGCGGCGAACGGGUGAGUAAUGCAUCGGAACAUGCCCAGUCGUGGGGGAAAACACUUCGAAAGAAGUGCUAAUACCGCAUACGUCCUGAGGGGGAAAGCGGGGGAUCGCAAGACCUCGCGCGAUUGGAGUGGCCGAUGUCAGAUUAGCUAGUUGGUGGGGUAAAGGCCUACCAAGGCGACGAUCUGUAGCUGGUCUGAGAGGAUGAUCAGCCACACUGGGACUGAGACACGGCCCAGACUCCUACGGGAGGCAGCAGUGGGGAAUUUUGGACAAUGGGGGCAACCCUGAUCCAGCCAUUCCGCGUGAGUGAAGAAGGCCUUCGGGUUGUAAAGCUCUUUCGGCAGGAACGAAACGGUGGGCUCUAACAUAGUCCGCUAAUGACGGUACCUGAAGAAGAAGCACCGGCUAACUACGUG
rnacentral:rRNA from 1 species